GUGAGCUGAGAGAUUUUGGACCUAACCUUGUAAAACCCUACAGGGUGAAAAGAAGAGGACUUAUCCAGCGUAAAUCCGUAGGUUGGAGCAGAGAGAGAGCUCAGUCUGGCUCCACAUUGGCUGCCUGAAAGAGGACACUUUGAUGGACGAGGCGUAACCCUGCUGGAGGUGUGUGGGAGCUGGCCCGAGAGCUUUGGGGUGCCGAGGCACCAUAUCGGAUCGGCCGACAUCAGCGAUGAAGGCCUGAGGGAGAGACUAGCCGACGCCAUGUCCGAGUCCCCUUCCAGGGACAUUGUGGGCUCUGCUACAGAGCUGCAGAGGGAGGGCAGCAUCGAAACCCUCAGCAACAGCUCGGGCUCCACCAGCGGCAGCAUCCCGCGAAACUUCGAAGGAUACCGCUCCCCUCUGCCCACCAAUGACAGCCAGCCGCUCAGCCUGUUCCCCACCACCUUCCCCUGAAGCCCCGCCCACUCAGGCAGCCGCUGGAGGCCCGAUUCAGGAGCUGCAGAAACAUCAGCUGAUUUUUUUAUUUUUUUAUGAAUGAAUUAUCUGAUGACCAGAGAAGAAUCGCUUUAUUGUUGCCUCCAAACAUUUAGUAGAAGGUGUUGAUGACUCUGAUGCGUCAGGAAGACGGCCUCCUCUGCUGCCCCGCCCCCCACGCCGUCCCUGAGGUCUGCAGCCUGUCGUCUGUUCGGGUCGCAGGAGAAGCAGCUCGACAGCAGAGGAGAAAAUGUUUAUUCCAGUUAGUGACGUGUAGCAGCUCCUUGUUUCCCUGUGUGUGUGUGUGUGUGUGUGUGUGUGUGUGUGUGUGUGUGUGUGUGUGUGUGUGUGUGUGUGUGUGUGUGCUCCCCAAAUGUUUCUGAUUAGAUUUACUCUUCUUGCCUUUGAUUUUGGUGUAAUUCCAUUUGACAAAGACGCAGUAAUGAGAUGACACUAUUACUACACGCUGAAGUCAUUUAGAUGUUUACAGUAGAACUUUUUCUGCUUUUAUUUACAGCCUCUCCGUUUGGUGCGUCCUGAUUGGCUCGCUGACGUCUUUGCUUUUUUAACAUGUUUUGACCAAAAUUUAGUAAAAUGUUUAGAUGUUUGUGUAAUCAUAUUUUCCUUAGAUGUGAUGAUUUUUUCCUGUUUUAUGAUCUUCCUGCUCUUUCCUUUCUGUCGCCUCUUUAUGAAAUGAUGUUAAAUAAUUGCAGUUUUUCUGCGUGACGUUUAUCAGAGAGACGGAGUGGAGCGUGAAUCUAGAUAUUCAGAACAUCUGCUUGUUGUAGAUCUAUUCCCAGCAUUCAUGCAUUAAAAGCUUAAUAAAAGUGGAAUAACUUCAUGUGUUUUUUUGCUGUGAAUCUGUUCUUCCUGUUUUAACGGCAGCAGUGACCAU